rnacentral:snRNA from 1 species
AUGGCUGAUACGGGUCAAAGUUUAGUAUCUGUUCUUAUCAGCUUAAUAUCUGAUACGGGUUGUAUUUGGACCCAAGAUAUUAAACUUAUUUUUGAAAGUUUGCGCAGUGCUUGAAGUCUUGCUUCACCUCCGCCGCGGGACGGCCCGGUAUGGCACUAUCUUCGGGAUUUUCGGUCUACGGACA